AUGUUCCACCAGAACACAUUCCUUCCUGGGACCAUCAAGCAGAACCACCGUCGCGGCGUUUGGAGCUUAGCACCACCC